rnacentral:rRNA from 1 species
GACGAACGCUGGCGGCGUGCCUAAUACAUGCAAGUAGAACGCUGAAGGAGGAGCUUGCUUCUCUGGAUGAGUUGCGAACGGGUGAGUAACGCGUAGGUAACCUGCCUGGUAGCGGGGGAUAACUAUUGGAAACGAUAGCUAAUACCGCAUAAGAGUAGAUGUCGCAUGACAUUUGCUUAAAAGGUGCAAUUGCAUCACUACCAGAUGGACCUGCGUUGUAUUAGCUAGUUGGUGAGGUAACGGCUCACCAGGGCAACGAUACAUAGCCGACCUGAGAGGGUGAUCGGCCACACUGGGACUGAGACACGGCCCAGACUCCUACGGGAGGCAGCAGUAGGGAAUCUUCGGCAAUGGACGGAAGUCUGACCGAGAAACGCCGCGUGAGUGAAGAAGGGUUUCGGAUCGUAAAGCUCUGUUGUAAGAGAAGAACGAGUGUGAGAGUGGAAAGUUCACACUGUGACGGUAUCUUACCAGAAAGGGACGGCUAACUACGUG